GAUCAUGGCUCAGGAUGAACGCUAGCUACAGGCUUAACACAUGCAAGUCGAGGGGCAGCAUGGACCCAGUUUUGCUGGGUUUGAUGGCGACCGGCGCACGGGUGAGUAACGCGUAUCCAACCUGCCCUUUACUCCGGGAUAGUCUCCUGAAAGGGAGUUUAAUACAGGAUGUUGUUUGUUCUUUCCGCAGUGGGAGCGAACAAAAUAAAGAUUGUAUUAGGGUAAAGGAGUGGGGAUGCCGUCCCUAUUAGUCUUUGG
rnacentral:rRNA from 1 species